rnacentral:rRNA from 1 species
AACGCUAGCUACAGGCUUAACACAUGCAAGUCGAGGGGAAACGACAUCGAAAGCUUGCUUUUGAUGGGCGUCGACCGGCGCACGGGUGAGUAACGCGUAUCCAACCUGCCCACCACUUGGGGAUAACCUUGCGAAAGUAAGACUAAUACCCAAUGACGUCUCUAGAAGACAUCUGAAGGAGAUUAAAGAUUUAUCGGUGAUGGAUGGGGAUGCGUCUGAUUAGCUUGUUGGCGGGGUAACGGCCCACCAAGGCGACGAUCAGUAGGGGUUCUGAGAGGAAGGUCCCCCACAUUGGAACUGAGACACGGUCCAAACUCCUACGGGAGGCAGCAGUGAGGAAUAUUGGUCAAUGGACGUAAGUCUGAACCAGCCAAGUAGCGUGCAGGAUGACGGCCCUAUGGGUUGUAAACUGCUUUUAUGCGGGGAUAAAGUGGGGGAUGUAUCCCUUUUUGCAGGUACCGCAUGAAUAAGGACCGGCUAAUUCCGUGCCAGCAGCCGCGGUAAUACGGAAGGUCCGGGCGUUAUCCGGAUUUAUUGGGUUUAAAGGGAGCGUAGGCCGGCUUUUAAGCGUGUUGUGAAAUGCCGCGGCUCAACCGUGGCACUGCAGCGCGAACUGGAGGCCUUGAGUGCGCGGGAGGUAGGCGGAAUUCGUGGUGUAGCGGUGAAAUGCUUAGAUAUCACGAAGAACUCCGAUUG